ACGCACGCUGGCGGCAGGCUUCACGCAUGCCAGUCGAGCGCAUCCUUCGGGGUGAGCGGCGGACGGGUGAGUAACGCGUGGGAACGUGCCCUCUUCUACGGAAUAGCCUCGGGAAACUGAGAGUAAUGCCGUAUACGCCCGCAAGGGGAAAGAUUUAUCGGAGGAGGAUCGGCCCGCGUUGGAUUAGGUAGUUGGUGGGGUAACGGCCUACCAAGCCGACGAUCCAUAGCUGGUUUGAGAGGAUGAUCAGCCACACUGGGACUGAGACACGGCCCAGACUCCUACGGGAGGCAGCAGUGGGGAAUCUUGGACAAUGGGGGCAACCCUGAUCCAGCCAUGCCGCGUGAUCGAUGAAGGCCUUAGGGUUGUAAAGAUCUUUCAGCUGGGAAGAUAAUGACGGUACCAGCAGAAGAAGCCCCGGCUAACUCCGUG
rnacentral:rRNA from 1 species